AUUGAACGCUGGCGGCAGGCCUAACACAUGAAAGUCGAGCGAACGGCGGACGGGUGAGUAAUGUAUGGGGACUGCCCGAUAGAGGGGGAUAACUACUGGAAACGGUGGCUACUACCGCAUACUAUCGGAUAACCCAUAUGUGAUUAGCUAGUAGGUGGGGUAAAGGCUCACCUAGGCGACGAUCUCUAGCUGGUCUGAGAGGAUGAUCAGCCACACUGGGCGUGAUACACGGCCCAGACUCCGACGGAGGCAGCAGGGGGGAAUAUUGCACAAGGGGGGCAAGCCUGAUGCAGCCAUGCCGCGUGUAUGAAGAAGGCCUUAGGGUUGUAAAGUACUUUCAGCGGGGAGGCGUUACCCGCAGAAGAAGCACCGGAUAACUCCGUGCCAGCCGCCGCGGUAAUAC
rnacentral:rRNA from 1 species